AUGGCCAAUUCUACACCGAAGGGUCAACAACUGUGCAUCCACAGACGUUGCCCAUCCACGAGCACACAGUGUAAUACUGAGGCAAGACUUCCCACACACCAGAACGUCUUCCGGUACUGGCACCUUGGCACAAUAUUACUGCUUAUGACUGCCUAAAAACAAUCAGUUAUCACACUGUGGAGAUUUCUAACAACACUAAAUAAUAGUUCCCAUUAAAAAAAAAUAUUAAUAGCUAGUGACUUAAUUGUGUAUUAUUAUUUAUAGUUACACUAAAUGUGAUGGAAACCCUUGGUAUCUAUUCAUUACUCAAUUUACUGUUGAAAUCUAUAUAUAAUACUUUUUGCAUUUGAUUAUUGUAUUAGUUAACUUUUCUUGAAGUUGAUUGAAGUUUAAUUCUGCCUACAUAAAAUUAUAUUAAAUCUGUGGUGGUUGAUAAUGUUGAAAUAGCAUUUUGAAGGAAUAGCUAGGUAGCCCAAUGGACAGAAUACUAAGCUUGGAGUUGGGUUCAAAUUUGGCCUCAGACACUUCCAGCUAUAUAAUCCUGGGCAAGCCAAUUAGUCCCAAUUGUGCCUAACCCUUAUUGAUCUUCUUAGAAUCAAUACUUAAUUGUUGAUUCUAAGAUACAAGGUAAUGGUUAAAAAAUGGUAUUGUAAUUCCAAUCAGGAUGAAAUUCCCAUCAAAUUAACAUCUAACUAGCAACUGCUUUAAAUUAUUCAGGAUUAGCAUUUAUAGUACAGAUUUAUGAAGAUAGAGGAUAUAAUGAAUUAUUCUCAUGUGAGGCUUGUAUUCUUUAAAACAAGUAAACUUCUGAUAAUUUUGUUUUAUUCUCUAAUUUUUUCACAUAUGUAAACUGUGCUUACCUAAUUAGAUUAGAGUUCCUCUAAGACAAGAACUUCUUUGUAACAUAGAUUUGAGUUGAGAAUGAAGAAUCCAAAGAAUACUUAAAAUCAUAGAUAAUUAGAGCUAAAAGGCAGCACAUCUAGUUCAACCCUAAACUUUUACAGUUGAGGAUAUAAAAUGACUUAUCUGAGGUCAGGAUACUUCCUGAAUUGAAUAGAGAAUGUUUUUCAAUUGAUCAUGGGCACUUACCCUUGGGGGUUGGCUAUAAUUUAUACAAGAGAUCUGUGGAGUAAGGAAAUAUUCAGGAAGUUGGUUAUCUAGGACUAGUGAUUACUAAAUAGAAAGGGAAAUUUGAAAGCAAAGGAAUUCACAUGGUAUAAUGGGGAAGGGGUGAGAAACCUAGAAAAAUGAAGGUCUCAGAGGUAGAUAGAGAAAAAGGUCACUACUCUGGUUGCUAGCACCUUAAGGAUUCCUUUCACCUACUUCCUGAUGUGGUGCCACAAAAGGGCAAGGAACUCUCCCCCCCCCCCACUCUGGUGACUAAGAGUAAUGAAAUCAAUGGAAGGUUCACUAAUGUAGAAAGAAGUGGGCAUCAAUGAUGAGUAUAAGAGUAUAUUAUCCAAGUUUUAUCAUAACCUGGUAGGAAUUUAAUUGCUGUGGGGCUAAGAAGAAGGACAAAUAGAUGUACAUCCAAGAUGAUAAACCAGAAGCUUGUCGCUAGUCUCUUUCACGAUUAUCCUCUACAUAAGGGAUAUGCAUGGAGCAUGAACAGUCCAUAAAAUCAAAUGCUCAUAUGAAAAUUAUGUUCAUGAACUUAAAUUCAUUCAUCACAUGAUAAUCUAUUGUCAUUUCACAUCUCCCUCUACUUUGCAUUCUCUAAUCCUGUUCUUCAUCCUCACAGUGACCUGAAAUCCCUUCUCCUUUCAUUAUAAUUUCCAAUCAAUUCUCCUCUCAGUUCUUUCCAAGGUCAUUAUCACCCCUGCAUUGGCUACAUUCUUUUCUCUUCCCAUCUUGGGCCCCUUAGUAAGCCAAUUCAAUUCUAUUCUGUCCUCUUCUCUGAAGUCCCUUGCCCCUUUAUCCUGUCCAUCUUGCCCUGAAAAACCUCAGCCUUGUUACUUUCAUCAUUCAACUACUCAUUCUCACUCAUAUGCUUCUAAAUGAAGCUAGAGAAAAAUCAUAAUACUAUGUUGAUUGGUACAAAUAAAAAAAAUUAAUCUCAGAGAGACUUUCA
ensembl:lncRNA